rnacentral:lncRNA from 1 species
UCGGUGUUGACAUGAAUAUCAAUUCUAUGGUCAUUUUUAUAAAUUUUCUGUUUACAAAACUUUGAAUUUUUCGAAAUACUAAGGAUUUUCUUACCCCAGGAGUAGAUUACCUUAGCCGUAUUUGGCACAACUUUUUGGAAUUUUGGAUCCUCAAUGCUCUUCAACUUUGUAUUUAUUUGGCUUUUUAACUAUUUUGAUCUGAGCGUCACUGAUGAGUCUUAUGUAGACGAAACGCGCGUC